UACGAAGGGGGCGAGCGUUGUUCGGAUUUAUUGGGCGUAAAGAGCGUGUAGGCGGCUUUACAGGUCCGUUGUGAAAACUCGAGGCUCAACCUCGAGACGCCGGUGGAAACCGUAAAGCUAGAGUCCGGAAGAGGAGAGUGGAAUUCCUGGUGUAGCGGUGAAAUGCGCAGAUAUCAGGAGGAACACCCGUGGCGAAAGCGGCUCUCUGGGACGGUACUGACGCUGAGACGCGAAAGCGUGGGGAGCAAACAGG
rnacentral:rRNA from 1 species